ensembl:lncRNA
GUUUCUCCUGAGCUGCGGUGGGUUUGGUCUCUGGGGGGGUGUCGGGGGGGUCGGAGGGGGGGUCGGAGCUCGGUCUGAUGCUUUUAGGAUGUUUUCUUUUCUUUUAUUUACAGGGUUUGCUUUGUUAGAACAUGUUGGAGACACGAGUAAGCCAGACUGUCUUCAGGUGGCCGUGAAUGAGACGCGGCUCUUUAUUCGACCUUUGGUGGGGGGGGCGGGGGGGGGUCACGUGGCCGUCGCCCGACUGCGAGCGGCUGCUGCUCUCUGCUGUUCCAUCUGCUCACCUACAAGUCAAACACACAAAGACCACCCACCACAUCUGCUAAGACCCUUUAGAUACGUUACAGACACUCAUCUAAUCACAGCUACACAUUAAUCAUAAUCACAGCACAUUCUGAAGCAUUUAUAGUUCCUAAUUAUUAGUCACCCUUUUUAAUUUACAUGGUUGUAAUAUAUUAUUAUCACUAUUACUAAAAUUCACUGUGAAGUUAUUUGUCAUUAUUAGUUUUCUGUAGGGAAAGAAAUCAAUAACACAUUUUAUUUUAUUUUUGUCCCAAACAAACAAGGACCACCUACAAUGACUUUUUAAAUUAAUUGAAAUAGUAAUUAGUGAAGUAAUUUAAUGCAUUUGAAAAAUAAUGCUUGAUAUGACAACCAUGAGGUAUUAAGACACGUGGACUUAAAUGAUAAAAGGCUGUAAAAUGUGUCAUUACUAUUAUUACAAAGCAGGAUGCCUACUUGUUUAUAGCUGUAAUUAGUGUGAUAAGCCAAUUAUUAUUCAUAAGUAUGAUUAUAAUACAUCGUACCGCUGUGCAGCAUGAAUCUUUGCUUUGCCCUUCUGGUUCUUACGCGAUUAUUUUCUUUAUCAUUCAGGUCGAGUUCAUUUUUCCUUCGUUUACAUAUAAAUCCACCUCGUUGUCACAGCGCUAUUUGUCUGAUUAGAAAUGAUCGGCGGAUCUAUUUUCAUUGGGGAUCGAACGGGUCGUAAUCAAAGCGAUUCUUUCUAUAGUCGCUGGCUGUAAGUAUCCUGCCGCGUGGCGUCAUGUCGGGACGGACAGGAAGUCACCCGGCCGCCGUGCGAUGGCUCAACUCGGUUUGGCAAGAUGCAAUAAUUGAAUGUCUCUGAUGCGGUGAGACUGAGGGGUCCACUUAGAACCCUUUUGUGAAACAACGAGUUCUUCAAGGGGCCCCGCUGGAAGAGAAGGCCCACAUGGAACCACACCCCGAAAAAAGUGCCGUGAACAAUGACCGCAGCGCGUGAGCCCCCCCGACCCGUCGGGGUUCCAGAAGAAUCCCUGUGUUCAUGACCACGGCUCUUCUUAGCAUCCCCGGAAGGUAGAGCUGCGGUGGAUGACACUCGGGCCAGAGAGAUGGGGGAGGAGGUUCUGGGUGGAGCGUUUCACCGCUCGGUCUGGGCCAUGUCAAUAAAAUGAUGAUUUUGUGAUUUGAGAAUAGAAAUCUUGGUAGAUUUGGGAAUUUGUAACCUGUGUCGUCUGUGUGGUUUUAAAGGCUGCAUUGGACCGGUGUAAUUAGCGGUUCUGUUCAUUCAUUCAUUGCCUUUAACAUCCGCAUUGCUGGAGAUCAUUCAGAAUCUCAACGUGUAAAUGUUUAAACACCGAUCGUCAUCCCUGUCAUUCCAAUGCAACAGUAAUGCGGAAUACUGUGAUACCGGCCAAGCGGCCCUAGUUCUUGUUCUAGUGAGCACCUUUUCGUCUCUGAGUGGAGUGUGUGGGUCGGUGGACGCACACAGCACCUCGUAGUGUAACAUAAUCAGUAUUAGUAGGAAAUGCUACUAUGUGAAACUAGUCUUCCUCAGUGCAAUACAGCCCCCCCCCCCCCCCCCCUGACCUUACCAAUUAGUGUGUUUAUGUGCUGGUCUCCACCUGUUUGUUUUCUUUGCAUAGAAAGUGGAAGCGGCCUCUUUUCUCCUCCGUGUCGCCUCGAUGUGACCUGAUUGUGUGUAAUCCUAUUUAUCGUGUGUGUGUAAAUACGUCCGUUAAUAAAACAAUGUGACUUUUAACGGCGUCCCGUCGUGUAUAAAACACACACACACACACACACA